rnacentral:rRNA from 1 species
UACGUAGGGUGCAAGCGUUGUCCGGAAUUAUUGGGCGUAAAGAGCGUGUAGGCGGUCCGGUAAGUCAGCUGUGAAAGUCAAGGGCUCAACCCUUGAAAGCCGGUUGAUACUGUCGGGCUAGAGUCCGGAAGAGGCGAGUGGAAUUCCCGGUGUAGCGGUGAAAUGCGCAGAUAUCGGGAGGAACACCAAUGGCGAAGGCAGCUCGCUGGGACGGUACUGACGCUGAGGCGCGAAAGCGUGGGGAGCAAACAGG